rnacentral:ncRNA from 1 species
AAGCCGGGUUACGGUGCCAAACUGCGCGCUAACAUAGAACCCACAAAGGGUGUUGGUCGAUUAAGACAGCAGGACAGUGGUCAUGGAAGUCGAAAUCCGCUAAGGAGUGUGUAACAACUCACCUGCCGAAUUAACUAGCCCCGAAAAUGGAUGGCGCUAAGGCGCGCGACCCACACCUAGCCAUCUGGGCGAGCGCCAUGCCCCGAUG